GUGCCAGCAGCCGCGGUAAUACAUGUGGGGCAAGCGUUGUUCGGAAUUACUGGGCAUAAAGGGUGCGUAGGUGGUUUGUUAAGUCAGGGGUGAAAUCCCGCGGCCCAACCGUGGAACUGCCUUUGAUACUGGCGAACUUGAGUGCGUGAGGGGUAGGGGGAACGAGCAGUGUAGCGGUGAAAUGCGUAGAUAUUGCUCGGAAGGCCAGAGCCGAAGGGGCCCUACUGGUGCGCAACUGACACUGAGGCACGAAAGCGUGGGGAGCAAACAGGAUUAGAAACCCCCGUAGUCC
rnacentral:rRNA from 1 species